UAAGUAAUUGUUGACUGAGUUGAGGCUUU
rnacentral:piRNA from 1 species